UACGUAGGGUGCAAGCGUUGUCCGGAAUUAUUGGGCGUAAAGAGUUCGUAGGCGGUUUGUCACGUCGGCUGUGAAAACCCGAGGCUCAACCUCGGGCCUGCAGUCGAUACGGGCAGACUAGAGUAUGGCAGGGGAGACUGGAAUUCCUGGUGUAGCGGUGAAAUGCGCAGAUAUCAGGAGGAACACCGGUGGCGAAGGCGGGUCUCUGGGCCAUAACUGACGCUGAGGAGCGAAAGCGUGGGGAGCGAACAGG
rnacentral:rRNA from 1 species